rnacentral:rRNA from 1 species
AGUGAACGCUGGCGGUAGGCCUAACACAUGCAAGUCGAACGGCAGCACAGUAAGAGCUUGCUCUUACGGGUGGCGAGUGGCGGACGGGUGAGGAAUACAUCGGAAUCUACUCUUUCGUGGGGGAUAACGUAGGGAAACUUACGCUAAUACCGCAUACGACCUACGGGUGAAAGCAGGGGAUCUUCGGACCUUGCGCGAUUGAAUGAGCCGAUGUCGGAUUAGCUAGUUGGCGGGGUAAAGGCCCACCAAGGCGACGAUCCGUAGCUGGUCUGAGAGGAUGAUCGGCCACACUGGAACUGAGACACGGUCCAGACUCCUACGGGAGGGAGCAGUGGGGAAUAUUGGACAAUGGGCGGAAGCCUGAUCCAGCCAUACCGCGUGGGUGAAGAAGGCCUUCGGGUUGUAAAGCCCUUUUGUUGGGAAAGAAAAGCAGCAGGUUAAUACCCCGCGGUUCUGACGGUACCCAAAGAAUAAGCACCGGCUAACUUCGUG